rnacentral:snRNA from 1 species
GGAAUUGGGAAGACCUGGCUCCCUUCUAACACCUGUUGGUUGUCAGAAUUGAUCUGCGUGAUCUUUUCUCUAAGUGAGCUUUGCUUUCCUUUUUUACCAUUCCGUGUAUGUCCUUCCUGAAGCUGUACUCUACAUGGGAGGGAAGAGCUCUCUCAUAUGAGAGGAGCCUUUUAAAGUCACAAAUAUAUGGAGUAGUUACCUUCUCCUAUGAGAGCCUUCAAACAAGCUCUUGAGAAGACCAUAAGGGCAAGAGAGAUAGCUCAAGGAUUGGAGUACUUUCUGAAUAAGCCUGAAGACAUGAGCUUGGAUUC